rnacentral:rRNA from 1 species
UGGCGGACGGGUGAGUAAUGUCUGGGAAACUGCCCGAUGGAGGGGGAUAACUACUGGAAACGGUAGCUAAUACCGCAUAACGUCGCAGACCAAAGAGGGGGACCUUAGGGCCUCUUGCCAUCGGAUGUGCCCAGAUGGGAUUAGCUAGUAGGUGGGGUAAUGGCUCACCUAGGCGACGAUCCCUAGCUGGUCUGAGAGGAUGACCAGCCACACUGGAACUGAGACACGGUCCAG